rnacentral:rRNA from 1 species
UACAGGGGGGGGGCAAGCGUUGUUCGGAAUUACUGGGCGUAAAGGGCUCGUAGGCGGCCAACUAAGUCACACGUGAAAUCCCCAGGCUUAACCUGGGAACUGCGUGUGAUACUGGAUGGCUUGAAUUCGGGAGAGGGAUGCAGAAUUCCAGGUGUAGCGGUGAAAUGCGUGAGAUAUCUGGAGGAAUACCGGUGGCGAAGGCGGCA